rnacentral:rRNA from 1 species
UACAGAGGUGGCAAGCGUUGUUCGGAAUUACUGGGCGUAAAGGGCGCGUAGGCGGUCCUGUAAGUCUUGUGUGAAAUCCCUCGGCUUAACUGAGGAACUGCACAGGAUACUGCGAGACUUGAGUUCGGGAGAGGGAAGCGGAAUUCCGGGUGUAGCGGUGAAAUGCGUAGAUAUCCGGAGGAACACCGGUGGCGAAGGCGGCUUCCUGAACCGACACUGACGCUGAGGCGCGAAAGCUAGGGGAGCAAACGGG